rnacentral:lncRNA from 1 species
UACACAUGAUUAUUGGGUUAUCUUGACAAAUAUUGGUAGGCUUCAGUAAAUAGGAGUAGGAAGAGCUGCAGAUCUCCUUCUCAAAGCAGGGAAAGUCCUCUCAGAAUGGGCUUCUUCUGAUGGAAACAGUUAAGUAUCAAGAACCCAAACUGCUCCAUGGGCUCUGUGGAGUCCCCAUAUUCAAGUCCUUUUAAGUGUCCCAAGUGUACCAGGAUCUUUCAUGGGAGAUUCAUCAGAGACAAAGACUUAACAUGCUAACUGCAGAAUUCAGCUAACCAUCCUGUCCUAGCCAGGCAAUCAGUAAUACCCUGAACUCAAGAGAUAGGCGAUGGACCAUUUCUGAACUGGACUUGAUGGGUUUUAAUAGCCUGUGUUAUAAGGGUAGAGAGUUAGCUAGUAAUAUUUCUAGCCAAUUUAUAUAUCUUUGAAACUACUAAUUUCACCAGUGAAAACCUCAAUAUUAUAUUUAUUAUGAAUAUUUUCAGAUCUUAGGAAAUAAAGAUAACUAAGUUAUAGCUAAAUUACAGAUAUCAAUUACAUGCUAAGUAAACAGCUCUAGAAUGAAUGUUCACAGCUAGGGUAGUUGUCAACUUUGAAAAAGGUAAAUUAAAAUCUUCAAUACUCCCAUAUUAUGUCUUAUUUGGAAGUAUUUAAAUUACAUUACACUGUAGGGAUCAUGCUUUCUUUGUGACAGAAUUCUAGGCACAUAGUGGCCACAUGACCCAUCUUCAUUGAGUAUAGUGUAUAUGAGGAUGCAUGUUAUCAACAUUAAUCCCUACAGAAUUAUUGCCUUAAAUGAUAAAGGAAAAACUCAUAUAGUUUUGUGUAAUUUAGCAUAUACUGUAAUGGCUUAAUUUGUUUUUAGAAUACCUUUAUUUUUGUCUUCUUUUUUGUUCUUCCAAGUUGCCUAUAUAAUAGUAUACCCACCGAAUUUUGCUAAUCUUAUGUUCUCUUAAAUGGCAAAAGAAUGUCAUAACUGUUAUAAAUCUGAACUUGUUCAUUUUGCAAGGCCCUGCCGCAUCUGUUAUUGACACUUUGUUUCUUAUCCUAAAGACCAGUGUGCAUGUUGUUAUGUGGUUCCUAGGAAGACUGUAAAGUCCUAAACUGAGACGAGGAUGUAAAGAGUCAAGGGAAUUUCUCUGAGAAAAUAAGUAGGGAUAUCCCUGGAGAAGGAGCUGCUUCUGUGUUCUUUUAAACGUCACACAGUAAUUGUUUCUUUUUUUAAGGAAAGAACAGGGGGAAGAGCAGAUCAUUUUCUAGUUGGAGAGCUUGGUAAACACAGGCUGCGGGGUUUACUUUGGUUUAGGAAUCCCACUGCCUCACUGGAGUGUUAAUCAAAAUUCCACAGCCAUUUGUGGAUACUUGGAGGUGGGGCGGACUGAUGCACAGCAAUAUUUUGACCCAGCACUUGAAGCAAAUACAACCAGAGUCAUCAGUGUUAAUUCCACUGUAUUCCAACCAUGUGCCUGUCCUAAGCUUUUAGUUAAGAACUUGUGUCUAAAAGAAAGUGGAAGGAGUCAGUCAGGUGUUGUAACUUUACUAUGAUCUUGUCAGGAAUAAUAACAGUACUAAGUGAUAAGAGGACAUUCAAAAAAUACUUGAAAUUGUUCAAGCCCUCCAACAUACUUCUUUUUGUAUACAUGCAACAACGGAGGAAUAACUUAAUAGAGCAAUGUCUUGAAAGGAAAAACUCAUGUGCAGCUAUUUUCUUUUAUUCUUAAAAAUGUAUCUGCCCAGGAAGACUGUUAAAUUAUACACGGUUGCUUUUACCUGAAGAAGCAAUUAUAAUGAAUAUCAUUAUAGACAUUUUUAGACUCUCGCAGAUUAAGAUUGUAAACAGAGUGGUGGUCUUCCCAGUCUUGGUGAAAGAAGAAUCUACCCUCCUCCACUUCUUAUAAUCAACAGUAACCAGGAGAGAUCACAAGCAGUUUCUACCAGGGCAUGCCUGGAAUGGAUCUAAUCAACAAGGGGGUUACCAUGACUUAAUAGAGAGGUGACUUGGAGAUUUUAUUUUAGGUUAGGGAACCCAGGCAUCAUAUUUUAAACUUGACUUGAGCUACUGAAUCUUUGGUACAACAGCUAACAGGAUAUAGGAAGUAACG